rnacentral:rRNA from 1 species
CCAGACUCCUACGGGAGGCAGCAGUGAGGAAUAUUGGUCAAUGGGCGCAAGCCUGAACCAGCCAAGUCGCGUGAGGGAUGACGGUCCUAUGGAUUGUAAACCUCUUUUGUCAGGGAGCAAAGGCGUCCACGUGUGGACGAGAGGAGAGUACCUGAAGAAAAAGCAUCGGCUAACUCCGUGCCAGCAGCCGCGGUAAUACGGAGGAUGCGAGCGUUAUCCGGAUUUAUUGGGUUUAAAGGGUGCGUAGGCGGAGUGUCAAGUCAGCGGUAAAAUUUCGGGGCUCAACCCCGUCGUGCCGUUGAAACUGACGCCCUUGAGUGAGUGAGAAGUAAGCGGAAUGCGUGGUGUAGCGGUGAAAUGCAUAGAUAUCACGCAGAACGCCGAUUGCGAAGGCAGCAUGCCGGCUCCACACUGACGCUGAGGCACGAAAGCGUGGAUAUCGAACAGGAUUAGAUACCCCCGUA